GUAGUUAGCCGGUGCUUUCUUGUUGGGUACCGUCAUUAUCGUCCCCAACGACAGGAGUUUACAAUCCGAAAACCUUCUUCCUCCACGCGGCGUCGCUGCAUCAGGGUUUCCCCCAUUGUGCAAUAUUCCCCACUGCUGCCUCCCGUAGGAGUCUGGACCGUGUCUCAGUUCCAGUGUGGCCGAUCAGCCUCUCAGCUCGGCUACCCAUCGUUGGCUUGGUGGGCCGUUACCUCACCAACUACCUAAUGGGACGCGAACCCCUCUUAAAGCGGAUUGCUCCUUUGACCUCAUCCCGAUGCCGGGUCGUGGUCUUAUGCGGUAUUAGCACUUGUUUCCAGGUGUUAUCCCCCUCUUUAAGGCAGGUUGUUCACGCGUUACUCACCCGUUCGCCACUAAGUACAAAACCGAAAUCUUGUACUCCGUUCGACUUGCAUGUGUUAGGCACGCCGCCAGCGUUCGUCCUGAGCCAUGAUCAAACUCUGA
rnacentral:rRNA from 1 species